rnacentral:rRNA from 1 species
UCAAGUUUUCGGUUAAAUCUAUGCGCUCAACGUAUAGGCCGCCGAAAAUACUGGGCAGCUAGGGAGUGGGAGAGGUACACGGUACUCAAUAGGAAGGGGUAAAAUCCUUUGAUCUAUUGAUGACCACCUGUGGCGAAGGCGGUGUACCAGAACACGUUCGACGGUGAGGGAUGAAAGCUGGGGGAGCAAACCGGAUUAGAUACCCGGGUAGUCCCAGCUGUAAACGAUGCAGACUCGGUGAUGCAUUGGCUUGUGGCCAAUGCAGUGCCGCAGGGAAGCCGUUAAGUCUGCCGCCUGGGAAGUACGUACGCAAGUAUGAAACUUAAAGGAAUUGGCGGGGGAGCACCACAAGGGGUGAAGCCUGCGGUUCAAUUGGAGUCAACGCCAGAAAUCUUACCUGGGGCGACAGCAGAAUGAAGGUCAAGCUGAAGACUUUACCAGACAAGCUGAGAGGUGGUGCAUGGCCGUCGCCAGCUCGUGCCGUGAGAUGUCCUGUUAAGUCAGGUAACGAGCGAGACCCCUGCGUCUAGUUGCUACCAUUACUCUCUGGAGUAGUGGAGCGAAUUAGACGGACCGCCACAGUUAAUGUGGAGGAAGGAAGGGGCCACGGCAGGUCAGUAUGCCCCGAAACCCUAGGGCUACACGCGGGCUGCAAUGGUAUUGACAAUGUGUUCCGAAUCCGAAAGGAGGAGGCAAUCAUCAAACGAUACCUCAGUUAUGACUGAGGGCUGUAACUCGCCCUCACGAAUAUGGAAUCCCUAGUAACUGCGCGUCACUACCGCGCGGUGAAUACGUCCCUGCUCCUUGCACACACCGCCCGUCGUUUCAUCGAAGUUGGCCUUUAGUGAGGUAGUGUCUUGUUGGCAUUAUCGAGCUUGAGGUCAGUGACGAGGGAAAAGUCGUAACAAGGUA